rnacentral:rRNA from 1 species
AGAGUUUGAUCAUGGCUCAGGACGAACGCUGGCGGCGUGCCUAACACAUGCAAGUUGAGCGGGGUUAACUAUUGUUCAGCUUAUGUUGAGCGUUAGUUAACCUAGCGGCGGACGGGUGAGUAACACGUGGGCAACCUACCCAAGAGACCGGGAUAACAGUCUGAAAGGGCUGCUGAUACCGGAUAAUCCUCUAUACUGAUUUCAGUUUAGAGGCAAACGCGGAUAGUGCUUUUGGAUGGGCCCGCGUCCCAUUAGCUAGUUGGUGAGGUAACGGCUCACCAAGGCGACGAUGGGUAGCUGGUCUGAGAGGACGGUCAGCCACACUGGGACUGAGACACGGCCCAGACUCCUACGGGAGGCAGCAGUGGGGAAUUUUGCGCAAUGGGGGCAACCCUGACGCAGCGACGCCGCGUGAGCGAUGAAGGCCUUCGGGUUGUAAAGCUCUGUCAUGGGGGACGAACAUUGACGGUACUCCAUGAGGAAGCCCCGGCUAACUACGUGCCAGCAGCCGCGGUAAU